UACAGAGGUCUCAAGCGUUGUUCGGAUUCAUUGGGCGUAAAGGGUGCGUAGGUGGCACUGUAAGUCGGGUGUGAAAUCCUGGGGCUUAACCCCGGAACUGCAUUCGAUACUGCAGUGCUUGAGGACUGGAGAGGAGACUGGAAUUCAUGGUGUAGCAGUGAAAUGCGUAGAGAUCAUGAGGAAGACCAGUGGCGAAGGCGGGUCUCUGGACAGUUCCUGACACUGAGGCACGAAGGCCAGGGGAGCAAACGGG
rnacentral:rRNA from 1 species